UGCCAGAAAAAGAAGGAUUGGCAAAUAGCAGUAGUGACAGUGAAGCUGAUGAUUCUGAGGGAGCUGAGGAUGCAGAGAGAGCUGAGGAUGCAGAGAGCUAAGGAUGCAGAGAGCUGAAGAUGCAGGAGGCUGAGUGUGUCUCAUAGCAUUCAGGUUGCUCAGCGGAGGCGUGGCCAGGAACAGCUCACCACUUCACCUGCAGCUCAUUCUGCCACCACCUGCAAACUAUUGGUCAUCACUUGCAGUAUAUCUACCCUGGUCACUCCAGAUGCCCACUGAUCGCCAGAUCGUUGCCUACAAUCUGGCUUGGACUACUGUCAUAGUGUGGAUAACUACACUCCGGUUUGACUUCCUACCUACCUCACCUGCCAAAUCUCCGAGCUAAUCCUUAGCCUCAACCCUGCCUUAUUCCACUCCCUGCUUCGGUAGAACAAUAAACUCCUUGCACAGAAGAACUGUGUUGUGGUGUGUCUCAGCUCUGGGAUGCAAAUACAACAACGUAACAAUACAGAGCACCAAGAAAGAGUGACGUGGGAGUCAUUUUUUAAGCAUAUGGCCGAAGAUUUGACAUAAAAUAUAUGUCAUAAUUUUUUUUUAUUUGCAGUAAGGAAAGCUUAAUUACAGGAUUUUUUAUGUAAUGAAUUAUUUUAUCGUGUGCCAUUGCUACAGUGUUUUUACUUGAUAAAUGUUUUGAAUGUCAUCCACCACUGAAAACAGACAUAACAUGAAAUGAUAAUUUCACAAUAAUGUGGUACCACAACAUCAAGAUGAUUUCAGGAUGUGCUCAUGAAGAUUUUGUUCAUUAAAACUGUGGAUUCUGCAUGUA